CCGAUUCGUCGGGAGAGUAAAGUGGCGAACGGGUGAGUAACACGAGGGUAAUCUACCCUUAAAUUAGGGAUAACCUUGCGAAAGCGAAGCUAAUACCUGAUAAGACUACGAUCUCCAAGGAGAUAGUAGGAAAAGAUGGCCUCUGUUUCAUGCUAUUGUUUAAGGAUGAGCCCUUGCACUAUUAGCUUGUUGGUGGGGUAAUGGCUCACCAAGGCUACGAUGGUUAGCUGGUCUGAGAGGAUGAUCAGCCACACUGGAACUGAGACACGGUCCAGACUCCUACGGGAGGCAGCAGUGAGGAGUAUUGCGCAAUGGGGGAAACCCUGACGCAGUGACGCCGCGUGAGCGAUGAAGGCUUUCGAGUCGCAAAGCUCUGUUAGGUGGAAAGAAACAUUUCAGUGCCAAUACCACUGGAAUUUGACGGUACCACCAGAGGAAGCACCGGCUAACUCCGUGCCAGCAGCCGCGGUAAUACGGAGGGUGCAAGCGUUGUUCGGAUUUACUGGGCGUAAAGGGCGUGUAGGCGGCUAGGCAAGUCAGGUGUGAAAUCCCUUGGCUCAACCAAGGAAGUGCAUUUGAAACUGCUUAGCUAGAGUACAGGAGGGGAAAGUGGAAUUCCCAGUGUAGAGGUGAAAUUCAUAGAUAUUGGGAGGAACACCAGUAGCGAAGGCGGCUUUCUGGCCUGAUACUGACGCUGAGACGCGAAAGCG
rnacentral:rRNA from 1 species